UAUUUUCCCAAGCCUAAAUUCAGAGAUCACACCAAUCCUGGCCCACCGGGGAGAAUGAGAGAAGAUACUUGGACAGCAGUGGCCAGCGUUUUCUCAGGCACUGACUCUAAGUGUGAUCUCCUCAGAGCCUGUCUCAUGUGGAGAAGGACACUUAGAUUCCCCCAACUCACAUGAGGAGAGGGUAGAGAAAGUUCAGAUGCAUCCAGAAAGAAAACUCGGCAGAGGAUCUGAGUUAAGAUGUUGUCUGAAGACUGAACCGGGAAGACAGUGGACUUUCUCCGCGGUAAAGAGCAAAACUUCAGCUUAAAAGGAUUUGCUUGCUUUCUUUGGCUAUUACCUUCUACCUGACUUACCACCGAAGUGAAGUUAGACCUACAGAGGAGACGUUAAAUCAGAAAUGUCUCUACACUGAUAGCAAAUCUCUGCAAUAAUGCUAACAAGCCGCAAGACCUGAUUUUUCACCUAUCCUGGUAUUAUGCUGAUGUCAUCUAAUUGAUUUCAAUGGAUUACUCUGGUCAACCUAGUGUCAGGCUCAGAGGCUAUACAUCUCUGUCUGCUUACGAAGAGUUGCUACUGCUGUCUAAGCCCUGGAAUAAGGAGCUGAUCUCAGACCCUGUCUGUGCUGAACUGCUAAGAAGAGGAAGAGAAGAGAGAGAAGCCUCCAGGUUUUGUAGACUGGGUUUAUAGGAGACUUAGUAGGAAAUAUGUGGCCAUAGCACUCUGCUCCUUCACCACAGACUCUUGGAAGACUGUUCGUUUUCCUCAUCCCCAAAAAUGAAGGAUUAAUUUGGAUGACAACAAUGGUGGUUUUAGUGCAACACGUAGAAUUAAAAAAAGCAGUCUGGCAGAAGAUCUGAGAAGCAGAAGGUGAAAAUAAAUAAAAUGGAGCAGUGAAGAAUGCAGAAAGAAACAGAAAGUGUUCAAAGGCAUGUAAACAUGAUGAGGGCUGGAGCCAAAUUCAUGUACAAACAACAAAGGAAGGAAGAACUUACUUAGUGAGUCCACCCAAAAUCCUGCUCAUGAAGAGGAGAGGGUUGGUGUUUCCAGUGCA